rnacentral:rRNA from 1 species
UAGUCAUAUGCUUGUCUCAAAGAUUAAGCCAUGCAUGUCUAAGUAUAAGCAAUCUAUACGGUGAAACUGCGAAUGGCUCAUUAAAUCAGUUAUCGUUUAUUUGAUAGUACCUUACUACUUGGAUAACCGUGGUAAUUCUAGAGCUAAUACAUGCUAAAAACCCCGACUUCGGAAGGGGUGUAUUUAUUAGAUAAAAAACCAAUGCCCUUCGGGGCUCCUUGGUGAUUCAUAAUAACUUAACGAAUCGCAUGGCCUUGUGCCGGCGAUGGUUCAUUCAAAUUUCUGCCCUAUCAACUUUCGAUUGUAAGGUAGUGGCUUACAAUGGUUUCAACGGGUAGCGGGGAAUUAGGGUUCUAUUCCGGAGAGGGAGCCUGAGAAACGGCUACCACAUCCAAGGAAGGCAGCAGGCGCGCAAAUUACCCAAUCCCGACACGGGGAGGUAGUGACAAUAAAUACUGAUACAGGGCUCUUUUGGGUCUUGUAAUUGGAAUGAGUACAAUUUAAAUCCCUU